rnacentral:lncRNA from 1 species
CGAAACACUCUACUACCUAACCAUUGUUCGAUAAACACUAGAUUAAUUCUCUGAAACGCAUUCAAACUGAAUAGGAACGAAUAACUCAUUAUAAUAUGCAACAUCCAAACUUACCCACGACUCUCGAAUGAUCGACUAAAGUUCCCCUCGCGUCUUGUCUCUUUCUCUAAAAUUCGCUACUUCCCAAGAAGAUAAAGAAAUAAAAUAAAAAAAUAAAACCCUAACGGAAACCAUUAGCCAAAAACCAGGAACUCACUUAUCGAACCCACACGCACAAAACCGCCAAAGAUAGAGGCAAGAACCACAAUUGCAGUUGGAUUGAGAGAUAAUUUCGAAAGGGGAAAGGAUAAAGAACACAAAAGGAACAACUCGGCAC